CCUACGGGUGGCAGCAGUAGGGAAUCUUCCACAAUGGACGCAAGUCUGAUGGAGCAACGCCGCGUGCGUGAAGAAGGGUUUCGGCUCGUAAAGCUCUGUUGGUAGUGAAGAAAGCUAGAGGUAGUAACUGUCCUUUAUUUGACGGUACUUACUUAGAAAGUCCCGGCUCACUACGUGCCAGCAGCCGCGGUAAUACGUAGGUGGCAAGCGUUGUCCGGAUUUAUUGGGCGUAAAGCGAGUGCAGGCGGUUCAAUAAGUCUGAUGUGAAAGCCUUCGGCUCAACCGCGGAAUUGCAUCAGAUACUGUUGGGCUAGAGAGCAGAUGAGGUGAGUGGAACGCAAUGUGUAGCGGUGGAAUGCGUAGAUAUA
rnacentral:rRNA from 1 species